GAAAGAAUAUUGUUGAUAUAUUAGCGUUUAGUUGUGAUUACAGGUCAUUUGCUGGGUUUUGGGGGAAUAGGGAACUGCUAAUGGAAAGCAUUCUGCUUCAUAUAUCACUGGAGAGAAGGGAAAUUGUAUAGUUAAUGAACAAUUGGAAGGAAUAUGUUCAAGCCAUGAGAAUCUCGCCUGUCUUUCCUGAGAACCGUUUAAAAAUUGGUCAAGAGCUUACCAGGGGUCAAAUUUUUGUUAUCUGUAGAGGACUGAAAUCGGAGAGGAGGAAGGGAGAAUUUAUCAAGGCCAAGAAAGGUGGUUGUUUGUGAAUUUUGCAGAAUGGAAUAGCAGAGAAGAAUUGGUGGGGGAGAGUUUGGGUUGGGUUUUCGUUGGGAUCGACAAUGGUUAGUAGUAUACUACAAAGGGAGGGCAUAUGCUCAAAGAGUUGAGCCAAAGCUUGCUUUGGUUGAGGUACAGCUGCCAAAUGAGGCAUUCCUAGAGAAUUGGGAACCUACUAAAAGCUCUUAUCUAGUAUUAAAAGCACCUGGGAUGAAUGUGCUGAAGGUUUCCUUGAGUACACCGCAAGAAAUAGCAGAUGGGGUUUCAGUACGGGAGUGGUCUGGUGCUGCGCUAGAUAAUUAAGAAGGUGCAAAGGCUGCUUUGAGUCUUGCUGGGACAAUGCUUGGAUGAGGGUGUUGCCUUCUAUCACAGCUAUUGCACAUGUUCGCCCAACAGAAGUUCUUGAAGAUAUGCCUGCAAUUUGCUUCGACAAGGAAUGAAACAAAUAGUAAUGAACUCAGAAACCCAUGAAGCUAAAGCGUUGGAGAAGGUGGAGGAUAAGUAAUGAGAACUCUGAAGCAUUGGCUUUUAUCAUUGAUGAGAGUUCACUCGCUUACACUAGAGGCAGAAGCGAUGGAGGAGGUUUCUGAGAAUCUUAAGAAACAAUUGAACAAGUUAGUGCUAGAUGAUGAAAUUAAACAUCUCCUGUAAAAGAUAUUGUAAACAUAGACACAGCAAGGUGCUCUGAUAGGGGAAAUUGAAGCAAAUGAGAAGCAUAGAUAUCAACUCCAACUUGAGGAGGCCAUUAGUAACAAUGGCAACAAAACUUGCGCAUUCUUAGCCAACACAGGCUAUUGGGUUAAUGGCUAAUGCUGAGCUUCAAUUCAAAAUGGCAAUGAGGGAUAAAGUCAUUAACAACCAACGGAAGGCGGUGAGAAACAUAUGAGACUUGCUGAUGAUUAGUUACUCAAUAUAACCGUACAAUCAUGCACCUCUGCGAAGUUUAGAAAAACCAGAGUAAUGUAGGUGAAAGUGCGGGGAUUUUUUGUUAGAUUAAGGAAACAUAUAUACUUGAGCUACAAAGGAGGUAACUCUCUCAGUUUAUUUGUAAGGUAUAUGAUUAAUUAGGCACUGCUCUUUUGAUUCACGUCAACUUGAAAGUGAAUGAAUCCAUAUUGGUAAUAUAAUUAGAUAAUGAAUACCUUGCUGGAUAAAGUUUUUAAGCUUAGGCAGAAAAGUCUGCAAGUGAUCAACUUUAUCUUUUAUAUGUUCGUCAACGUAACAUAACUGCAUUUUCUCUCCCAGUAUUUGGUUGUUGUUACUUUGAAUUUCUCUUCCUUUUUGUACUCAUCAAGUGUUCUAUAGCUGGACCAGAACUUUCUGUUUUUGUCGAACUAUUAGUCUAUUACGUAUAAAAUUCAUGAAAAAAUAACCAAACCCGCAGAAACGCGCGGACGCUUUUUCUAGUGGUAUUCAUUAUGGCUAGAAUGGGUGGAGGAAUUCGCACUGGUGUUGCUCCGGUAGUUGCAGGUGUUGCAAAAUCAAUGGGAAACUUCAAGUAGCCUUUUCUGACUAUGGUUGUAAUGAGAUAAUUCGGAAUAUGAGGGUAUUACGUUUGGAUUUGAUUUUACAGCAUUUUAGAAUUUGAUCUCAGCUAUGUAAAGUCAUUGACAUUUUAAGAAUAUAUUGGCUGAUGAGAGGUUCAAAGAGAUUAUGAAUGAAUUACCAUCUCACAUUAGGUUAUAAACAUGAAUUCAGGAAAAAAAAACAUAACCCCGCAGCAUCGAGUGGGCGAGUUGCCUAGUUACCUAUUUUAAACCUCUAACUCCUUAUGAAUAGUAAUUUGCCCUGCUGCUUUUCCCAUAUUUUGCUCAUUACCCUUGCCACCUGUUGAUCUGUUGAGCCACCACCUAAUUACUUUGAGCGAUGGCGGGUCGCCCUUUCUCUGCUGCGCAGAAGAGACAGGAGCUGAAAGAGAGACGUUGUUUGCCUGGCAGAAAGAGAGUUGAAGAGGUGAUUGAUAGAGGGCGACAUACGCAGAGGUUGUAUUCGUUUUGCCCAGGCGUUGUUGAGAUUGUUAUUCAUUUUGAAGCUUAUGGAUUUUCAGGGAGGAUGAGCAUAGUAUCAAAAGAAAUUGACUGAGGAAUGUGCAACCAAUAAUUUUCCUUAAUCUGUUUCAGUUUUUGCUAAAUUCUGUCAUUUCCAGUGUUUUCUGAAAUCUAACUCACUCAAUUUAAUGCCUUUUAUGUUAUUCUUUAGGUGAGACAGAGAUGAUUGUUCCUUUUCUUUGCUACAGAAAUUGAGCCGCUGGAGGUUUCAUUUGCAGUAGUUGUAAUUAUUUCUUAUAUCAAUGCUGUGAUUUGGUGUUGAAGCAUCUUUCAGUCAUGCAAAAACAAAGGGUUUUUUGUGGUUUAUUGGAUUCCCCACAAUCCAGGCUGAGGGACUUACAGUGGAGGGUGACAUUGUCUUUGCAUCUGUUAUGGCAACUCUUGGACUGCAAAUAUUGCUCGAGUCUGCUUGAGAACUGAUCUCAAAGAAAUGGAUGAUGGACAGGAGAAGUGGAUGACCGCUAUCAUGGUCUCUGUCACAGCUAGUAGUGAAGUUUCUCCACAUGGUCUACUGUCAAAGAUUUAAAAAUGAAAUUGUACGGGCAAGGUGAAUUUCAUUGAACCUUGAAGAUAACAGUAUUGACAAGGCAGGGUGAAUUAGUAGCUGGGCUAAAAUGUUGUCUGUUGAAAAAUUGGGAAAAAACCGAAAGAAUGCGGAAAGAGUCCACAUACUCUUUCGAUAAAUGAUUGCGUCAAUGAGCAUCUCUAAAAUGCUAAAUUUAAGUAUCAUAUUUUUAAGUUUGAUUUUAUAUUUUGGCUAAUUGUUGUAGUUAAACAUAUAUCAUACCCGCAACAUCGUGCAGGGGUUGAUGCCUAGUUACCCACUAUUUUCAUAUCAAGGUUGAUACCAAUUAUCUUCU